rnacentral:rRNA from 1 species
GCAAGUAGAACGCUGAAGAGAGGAGCUUGCUCUUCUUGGAUGAGUUGCGAACGGGUGAGUAACGCGUAGGUAACCUGCCUUGUAGCGGGGGAUAACUAUUGGAAACGAUAGCUAAUACCGCAUAACAAUGAAUGACUCAUGUCAUUUAUUUGAAAGGGGCAAUUGCUCCACUACAAGAUGGACCUGCGUUGUAUUAGCUAGUAGGUGAGGUAACGGCUCACCUAGGCGACGAUACAUAGCCGACCUGAGAGGGUGAUCGGCCACACUGGGACUGAGACACGGCCCAGACUCCUACGGGAGGCAGCAGUAGGGAAUCUUCGGCAAUGGGGGCAACCCUGACCGAGCAACGCCGCGUGAGUGAAGAAGGUUUUCGGAUCGUAAAGCUCUGUUGUAAGUCAAGAACGAGUGUGAGAGUGGAAAGUUCACACUGUGACGGUAGCUUACCAGAAAGGGACGGCUAACUACGUGCCAGCAGCCGCGGUAAUACGUAGGUCCCGAGCGUUGUCCGGAUUUAUUGGGCGUAAAGCGAGCGCAGGCGGUUUGAUAAGUCUGAAGUUAAAGGCUGUGGCUCAACCAUAGUUCGCUUUGGAAACUGUCAAACUUGAGUGCAGAAGGGGAGAGUGGAAUUCCAUGUGUAGCGGUGAAAUGCGUAGAUAUAUGGAGGAACACCGGUGGCGAAAGCGGCUCUCUGGUCUGUAACUGACGCUGAGGCUCGAAAGCGUGGGGAGCGAACAGGAUUAGAUACCCUGGUAGUCCACGCCGUAAACGAUGAGUGCUAGGUGUUGGAUCCUUUCCGGGAUUCAGUGCCGCAGCUAACGCAUUAAGCACUCCGCCUGGGGAGUACGACCGCAAGGUUGAAACUCAAAGGAAUUGACGGGGGCCCGCACAAGCGGUGGAGCAUGUGGUUUAAUUCGAAGCAACGCGAAGAACCUUACCAGGUCUUGACAUCCCGAUG